rnacentral:rRNA from 1 species
AACGCGAAGAACCUUACCUGGAUUUGACAUCCUGAGCUAACCCUAGAGAUAGGGCGUUCGUAGCAAUACGACUCAGAGACAGGUGCUGCAUGGCUGUCGUCAGCUCGUGUGGUGACAUGUUGGGUUAAGUCCCGCAACGAGCGCAACCCCUGUCUUUAGUUGCCAGCAUUGAGUUGGGCACUCUAAAGAGACUGCCGUGGUGAACACGGAGGAAGGUGGGGAUGACGUCAAGUCCUCAUGGCCUUUAUAUCCAGGGCGACACACGUGAUACAAUGGACGGUACAAAGGGACGCCAAGAGGCAACUCGGAGCUAAUCUCAAAAAGCCGUUCUCAGUUCGGAUUGGAGUCUGCAACUCGACUCCAUGAAGUUGGAAUCGCUAGUAAUCGCGGAUCAGCACGCCGCGGUGAAUACGUUCCCGGGCCUUGUACACACCGACAUA